AAUCCCAUUUCAGUACCUUUCAUUCGCUUUACUAUGAAUGGACGGCUAUGCUAAUGGGAUAGAAAAACCCUGUCAUGGUCUGAGGGUGUGGUUAACUUGCUGUGUACCGCACUAAAUAAGAUGACAGAAUAUAUCUAU
rnacentral:snoRNA from 1 species